GAUGAACGCUGGCGGCGUGCCUAAUACAUGCAAGUCGAGCGAACAGACGAGUAGCUUGCUCCUCUGACGUUAGCGGCGGACGGGUGAGUAACACGUGGAGAACUUACCUAUAAGACUUGGAUAACUUCGGGAAACUGGAGCUAAUACCGGAUAAUAUAUUUAACCGCAUGGUUCAAAAGAGAAAGACGGUUUUGCUGUCACUUAUAGUUGUAUCCUCGCCGCAUUAGCUAGUUGGUAAGGUAACGGCCUACCAAGGCAACGAUGCGUAGCCGACCUGAGAGGGUGAUCGGCCACACUGGAACUGAGACACGGUCCAGACUCCUACGGGAGGCAGCAGUAGGGAAUCUUCCGCAAUGGGCGGAAGCCUGACGGAGCAACGCCGCGUGAGUGAUGAAGGUCUUCGGAUCGUAAAACUCUGUUAUUAGGGAAGAACAAAUGUGUAAGUAACUAUGCACGUCUUGACGGUACCUAAUCAGAAAGCCACGGCUAACUACGUG
rnacentral:rRNA from 1 species